AUUUAUAUAGUUUAAAAUAAAACAUUACAUUUUCAUUGUAAAAUUAAUAAAUUUAUUAUUUAUAAAUA
rnacentral:tRNA from 1 species